rnacentral:rRNA from 1 species
CCUACGGGGGGCAGCAGUAGGGAAUUUUGCGCAAUGGGCGAAAGCCUGACGCAGCAACACCGCGUGAAUGUUAAGCCCUUCGGGGUGUAAAGUUCUGUCAAUAGGGACGAAUUUUGACUGUACCUAUAAAGGAAGCACCGGCUAACUCCGUGCCAGCAGCCGCGGUAAUACGGGGGGUGCAAGCGUUGUCCGGAAUUACUGGGUGUAAAGGGAGCGCAGGCGGGAAGCCAAGUCAGCUGUGAAAACUACGGGCUUAACUUGUAGACUGCAGUUGAAACUGGUUUUCUUGAGUGAAGUAGAGGUUGGCGGAAUUCCGAGUGUAGCGGUGAAAUGCGUAGAUAUUCGGAGGAACACCGGUGGCGAAGGCGGCCAACUGGGCUUUAACUGACGCUGAGGCUCGAAAGUGUGGGGAGCAAACAGGAUUAGAUACCCCAGUAGUC